rnacentral:rRNA from 1 species
ACGAACGCUGGCGGCAGGCCUAACACAUGCAAGUCGAACGCGUGUAGCAAUACACGAGUGGCAGACGGGUGAGUAACGCGUGGGAAUUUGCCUUCCGGUACGGAAUAACCCGGGGAAACUCGGGCUAAUACCGUAUACGCCGGUGACGGGAAAGAUUUAUCGCCGGAAGAGAAGCCCGCGUCGGAUUAGCUAGUUGGUGGGGUAAAAGCCUACCAAGGCUGCGAUCCGUAGCUGGUCUGAGAGGACGACCAGCCACACUGGGACUGAGACACGGCCCAGACUCCUACGGGAGGCAGCAGUGGGGAAUCUUGGACAAUGGGGGAAACCCUGAUCCAGCCAUGCCGCGUGGGUGAUGAAGGCCUUCGGGUUGUAAAGCCCUUUUGGCGGGGACGAUGAUGACGGUACCCGCAGAAGAAGCCCCGGCUAACUCCGU